AGGCAGUGAGCCCCCUGAUCUCCUGGGAAGAGGACUGAAGUCAUGGAGAGAGGGCAACUACUCAAACCAUUCCGUCUAGGCUGGCCUCUGGCGGAGACUCAUUCUUCCACGGGAAAGUUGUUGUUACCCUGGACUCAAACUGUUUGGAGACCAGGUUGGGCUCGGAGCGAUUCUUUAGUUAGGAAGUUACAGCAGCAUUUACCGAAGCAGCCUGCUGGAAACCACAAAUAAGGGAGCAAGAAGUAGCCUCAAGAAGAAACAAACUUUGGGAGAAUGUGCACUGAGAAAAGCCAGAUGAAGUCCCCCUGGAUCAAGUGAAUUAAGAAAUAAACAUGACGGUAUACUGGAGUCAAAACCAA